UACGUAGGUGGCAAGCGUUGUCCGGAAUUAUUGGGCUUAAAGCGCGCGCAGGUGGUUUCUUAAGUCUGAUGUGAAAGCCCACGGCUCAACCGUGGAGGGGCAUUGGAAACUGGGGAACUUGAGUGCAGAAGAGGAAAGUGGAAUUCCAAGUGUAGCGGUGAAAUGCGUAGAGAUUUGGAGGAACACCAGUGGCGAAGGCGACUUGCUGGUCUGUAACUGACACUGAGGCGCGAAAGCGUGGGGAGCGAACAGG
rnacentral:rRNA from 1 species